rfam:Oryza glumipatula chromosome 3, whole genome shotgun sequence.
AAUAAGUGCAGUUUUGCCCUAUUCACGUUCAACGUUUAACCGUUCGUCUUAUUUGAAUUUUUUUAUGAUUAGUAUUUUUAUUGCUAUUAGAUGAUAAAACAUGAAUAAUACUUUAUGUGUGACUAAAUAUUUUUAAAUUUUUCAUAAAUUUUUUAAAUAAGAUGGACGGUCAAACGUUGGGCACGGAUAUCCACGGCUGCACUUAUU